GUAUGUGAGUGUUAAGUUGUUACGUUGAUUACUUUUCAAGUAUUGAUCAUCAAUCUCAAAAGGUUUACUCAACAAUUUAACUUGAAAUAAUCAACUUACCGGUUCACCAGGAGAUCCUAUUAGAUAUUAUCAAAGGUAAUCCAGUUAAACCAGGAGGACCAGGGGGACCCGGUGGACCAGCAUUACCAGGUUCACCCUUUGGAUGAUUAAGAAACAAUUAACAGUUAAUUAAACCCAAUUAAGAGUACGAAAAAAAAAUCAAUCAAAAUUAUUGCAAAUUGUAAAUAAUUAAGUAAACAAAUUACAAUCAAGGAAGGAAAAAA